rnacentral:lncRNA from 1 species
AUGAAAGGAGCCCAGUGUAGUGUAACUGCGUUCCCAGCACUACCCGGCUUCUCUGGUUGCACUCGCAUGACCUCUGCUUGGUUUCUGUCACUGCCAAGCAGGCAGAGAACAAACAAGUGCAGGGUGGCAUGUCAGAUCCUCUGUCGAUGCACCGAAUUGAGCAAUUAUACUCUACAGCAGUCACCCUCAGGGCAUUAAAAAGAGGGAGAAAGGGGAACAGUGUGUGUGAAGACAGAGAUACACCACCAAUAGCUUUUUGUCUCUCCUUCAGUUAAUACAGUAAUUAGCCCUACCCACUCUUGCCUCAGGCACCACAGAAGGAAAAAACAUGUGCACGUUGAAGUGAUAUGCCCCAGAUUAAGGAAAGGGGUUGCUGCCCUGCAUUACAGUUAAUAUAUAUGUUUAUAUAACAGUGCAGGACAACAAAUCUAUCCCAUAGCUUUCUUCAUUGUCAGUGUAGUCUAUCACCAACUUGUUCAGUGCUCCUACUCUUGCCUCUCCUACACAACUCCUGACAAGAUGUGGAUGUCUGAGGAUGUGCCACAGGAACUCACAAGCCCCAUUUUGUAAAAUAAGCCCCUGCACUCUCAACCAACAUAAUCACAUAUAUGCAGAAACAAAGAGCUUCUGAUUAGCCAUGAAGCUGUGUGGAGGCUGGAGCUGUGAAAGAAGCAGCAGAAGGAGAAAGCCCACACUCCACAAUGUUUCCAGUGACUAAGAGAUUGGGUUUGGCUGCUGGCUGAGCUGACUGUCUUUCCCUGGAAGAUGUUGCAUCUAUUAUCAACCUAGAGAUGUAAAAUAGAACUGAAAAAUGUCUGAAAUUUUCCUUGUUUUUAAUGUUAGAAAAAAAUUAGGAAUCAUUAGUUCUCCAGGCAAAGGAUGAACAACAGUUGGUAUAUAUGAACAUACUGAACUGCGGCACAAUUCUCUGAUUUGCCUUCUGACUUAAACAGUAGCUGAGAACUACUGGAAGCUUUUUUAAAUUCGCCCCAUGGUUAUUGCUAAUGUCCACAGUACCAGACUUUCAAGAACCAAUUUAUUAUCAUAUAUGUAGUCAAACUGACAAGUGGAAAGAAAAGUCACUAUAAUGGUAAGCUGGUAACCUUUCCUUAAUUCAGAUGCCAUGCAGUCAUACCACUGAAUCAGUUGGCUAAAAACAGUAACGCUGUGUAUGAAGCUACCUGCUGCAUCUCCUCUGCAAAAAUAGUUCUUAUUUUAGAAAGCCAAAUUUGAAUAAGAAUACCUACCAGCCUUAACAGAUC